rnacentral:misc_RNA from 1 species
GAUGAAGAACGCAGCGAAAUGCGAUAAGUAAUGUGAAUUGCAGAAUCCAGUGAAUCAUCGAAUCUUUGAACGCACAUUGCGCCCGCCAGCAUUCUGGCGGGCAUGCCUGUUCGAGCGUCAUUUCAACCCUCGACCUCCCUUUGGGGAAGUCGGCGUUGGGGACCGGCAGCACACCGCCGGCCCUGAAAUGGAGUGGCGGCCCGUCCGCGGCGACCUCUGCGUAGUAAACCAACUCGCACCGGAACCCCGACGUGGCGACGCCGUAAAACACCCAACUUCUGAACGUUGACCUCGAAUCAGGUAGGACUACCCGCUGAACUUAAGCAUAUCAAUAAGCGGAGGA